rnacentral:rRNA from 1 species
UACGAAGGGAGCUAGCGUUGUUCGGAAUCACUGGGCGUAAAGCGCACGUAGGCGGAUUUGUCAGUCAGGGGUGAAAUCCCGGGGCUCAACCUCGGAACUGCCUUUGAUACUGGCGACCUUUGAGUCCGGGAGAGGUGAGUGGAACUCCGAGUGUAGAGGUGAAAUUCGUAGAUAUUCGGAAGAACACCAGUGGCGAAGGCGGCUCACCUGGCCCGAUACUGACGCUGAGGUGCGAAAGCGUGGGGAGCAAACAGG